rnacentral:rRNA from 1 species
UACGAGCCUCACGAACGUUAUUCGGAAUUACUGGGCUUAAAGGGUGCGUAGGCGGCGCGGAAAGUUGGGUGUGAAAUCCCUCGGCUCAACCGAGGAACUGCGCCCAAAACUACCGUGCUCGAGGAAGAUAGAGGUGAGCGGAACUCACGGUGGAGCGGUGAAAUGCGUUGAUAUCGUGAGGAACACCCGUGGCGAAAGCGGCUCACUGGGUCUUUUCUGACGCUGAUGCACGAAAGCUAGGGGAGCAAACGGG